CGAGCCUUCAACGUGCCUGCAUGAUCGAGAAAUGGAUGGAGAAGAAAGCCGUUGAUGAUAAGGUUGUCUUUAAUAGGCGAAAUCCCGUGGCGGGUUCUCAAAGAAACUCUCGAAACGACUUUGAUCCCAUGCUGUUGAACUCCAGCUCCACCUCUUCUGAUUCUAGUGGUGGGUUCUCAUCCUCGGAGUCGGAUUCCUUUUACGGUGCAAAAUCAAGGUCGUCGUCUUCAUCAUCAAGCCGUUACACCACUCAUAGGCCUAAGCCUAUUCGGACAACCGUCUCAGCUCCGCCGCCCGAAGUCGAAGACGGUUUCCAUGGUGCUAAACAACAAAAGCCAAAGCAUGAAGGUGGCUUCGUGAGAACAAAAUCCAAGGCGUUGAAGAUUUACAGUGACCUCAAAAAGGUUAAGCAGCCGAUAUCUCCAGGGGGUCGGCUUGCAAGCUUCCUGAACUCUCUUUUCACCGCAGGCCAUACAAAGAAGACAAAGAUUCCAGCGUCAAGGUACGAGGGAACCAAGUCAAAGUCCGACCAGGCAACACCAACGACAUGUUCAUCGGCUUCAUCGUUUUCAAGGUCAUGUUUGAGCAACAAGACUCCAUCUUCAAGAGGGAACGGUACGAAAAGGUCUGUCAGGUUUUGUCCGGUUAAUGUUAUUCUCGACGAUGAGACCAUCCGCCAUGAAAACGAUCGUCCAAUUCCAACGUCCAGAAGAUCAAAACCAACAAGCAAAGAGCUGGAGUUCCGCAUCAUGGAAGAAAACCGUCGAGUCGUGGAAGCUGCAAAGGAUCUCUUAAAGAGUUACCAUAAGAAGAAGGAAGAGUACGAUAUGAGAGAUAUGUGCACUGUGAAUGCAGCGUCAAGCGACGACGAAGACGACGACACCGCUAGUUAUGCAAGCUCCGAUCUCUUCGAAUUAAAUAAUCUGUCAGCAAUUGGAAUCGAAAGGUAUCGAGAAGAACUGCCUGUGUAUGAAACAACCCAUCUGGAUACUAAUCGAGCCAUUGCUAAUGGUUUGAUUGUGUAAUAGUAUGAUUAGCACUAAUUAACCAGUUCAACUGUUUGGGGGGUUUACAUAAAAAAGAAAUAAUAUUAAUUUGUCUUUUAGGUUCAAAUUUUUGAUCUUUGGUUAAAUGAUUUGAACAUGAACCAAUGAUGCUCAUUGUCUAAAAACAAAGAAAAUUAAAUAAAGUGAUUGAAGAAUCUAAAAAUCGGUGCUUCACACGCGACACAAUGACAAGUAAAAGAGAGAGAGGUGAAAAGUAAAAGGCAGAUUUUCUACACUAUCAUCAUCCAAAUAAAGCUUUUAUUUCCCCUUUUUUGCUGUCAAAUUUGUGGGUCCUUUUUUUUCAUUGCUUCAAAUUGACACUACUCUCCAACCAUACCAUAGAUUUUUGCUUAUUCCUGAUUAAAUCUUGUAAAUAUGAUAAAUAACGAUAAAGAAAGAGGUGAUUAGAUUUUAAUGGCAUUUUAGCAUAUAUGGUUUUUGGUGAGGGAGGGGUAGAUAUACAUGCAUUGCAUGCAUGGUCUUAAAAGCAGUGGACAAAAUGGAUCUAAUCUUUAAUCCCUUGGCUUAGAUGUCAAAAUUUGUUAGCUUCAGUUCAAAGUUUUAUUUAUAUUUUAUAUGUAAAAUCCCCACUAUUUCUCCACUCCUUUUUCAAACCAUAUCUAUUUAUUCUUCCAUCUCUUAACUUUUUCCUAAUUCUAUCCUGCACAUGUGAUGCAUUCCUUUUUUAUAACAAGGAAGUUCCAAUGUAGUAUCAUUUAGCAUAAAAUAAAAGCUAAAUCUUAGCAGUUUUGGUCAUUCCCAUUUAGAUAUAUAUUUUUCAAAGGUCUAUAUUUAUCUGUUUGUAUUAAUAAAAACCAAUUAACCAAAGGAAUCUAAAACAGUAACGUCCAUUAGUCAGAAGCUGUUUACUCGCCUUUCAAAGCGUUUCAUCAAAUUAAGAGAAGUUACAUCAACAAAUAGGGUGAAAUUUUUCAGUUACUUUCUAAAAUGAUAAAUAAUUCAUCACGAAAAAAAAAGUGUUGGUCAAAUAUUAAUAUAUAUUUUUUAAAAUUAUUAAUAAAAAUAUAAGUAUAAUUAAAAUCUGAUUGAAACUAAACCAAUGCAGCAAAAGUUUGAAAUAAUAGUAUAGGAAUUCGUAAUACAGAAAAUAUAAAAAUAUGGUUUUGGAUUUGCGGCUGGUGCCUAAUCAUGAGAUUUUCUGACUUGACGGCUACCAUUAUUUUUCCAAUAUCCAUGGGUCAUGGCGUACAUAUUGAGCCGUGUGACAUAUGCAUCAAAUUUUACUCACUCCCCCUUAAUAUCGACUUUUAUCGGUGUAUAUAAAUUUUAUUAUUUUAAUUUAUUUUUAAAUUUUAUAAUUGUAUAUUUAUAUAUGAAUAUGUUUAUAAUUGAAAUCUAUCUAAUGUGCAUAUAAUUAUUAUUAUUUUAAAACUCCGAAUAAUUCCAUCAAUUCUAUCAUUUAUGUAUUUGGAAGCCUUGAAACAGAACAAUGCUUAAGUAAGCAUAGAGGAUAGAAUUGAUGCAAUCAGUUUUAGAAUAAAAACGAUAUGUCGAUCGUGUAAAUUUUGAAAAUAUUGACUGAAUGGUUUCGAUUAAACCUAACUUUUAAGUUUCAAUCAUAACAUAUUUAUUCCCUAAAAGACUCCUAAUUGUUAAGAAUUUACAAAAUAGGGCUAUCCGUUCAAAUUAAACUUAUUCAAAUAGUUUAAGUUAUUGGUCCAAUGUCGAAGGUACGUUCGACUAUUAAGAAGGUUACAUUUGAAAGUUGGGUUUGUGCAAAAAUUUAAAUUCCUAUUUAAACAUGGUUUGAGCUCGAACUUCAAUAUUUAAAUUCCAAGCUUUACCCAACUUAGUCUAGCUCGCUUUUAAGGGUAUAAUAUAUUUUAAUCUAUUUUAUAUCUCAAGAAAAAUUAAAAUAUGCUCUAUUAUAAUUUAAUAUUAAAAGAAAUAUUAAGAUAUGUAUGUUUACAAUUUUAAUAAAAGACUUCUCUUUUGUUGAGAUAUCAAUCUUCGGGUUAGUUAUCGCCCAUUCUUUUCUCCCUCCCGCCAAUUCUCAUUUUUUUUUCUCCUCAUUCAUUCCACGUGUCUUAUCUUUUUUUUUUAGUUUGUAGAUCUAUUUGUGUAAGUAUCUUUGUUGUCUUUACAAGUUGUAAUAGACAGUCGUCGUUGAAAUUUCACCAGCUACCAGUAGUUUCUUUUGGAAAUUGGGUGGUUUUUCGUUGGCUUAUUAAUUUGUUUCUAUUUUGAGAUCUAUUUCAGAAUAAUAAAUAAUUUCACGCUUUAAUUUGGGCCCGUCUUGACUUAAGUUUUAUAUAUUUUUUGUGUUUGUUUUCCAUGUUUAAUAAGUCUUCACUUUUAGAAGUUUUUGUCUACUUUUGUAACAUGUUUUUUAGUCUUACUUUUGCAAGUGAUUUUAGGGAUGAUUUUGAUGUCGUCCUGUUCAAUUUGGUGGAUACUUGAUUCUUUUGUCGAUUUUUGCCCGUCGCUUUGGACCACUCAAGGUUGAUUUUCUUAUCUAUUAAGUGUUUGCAAUCACUCCAAAUAUGUCGUGUUUGAGUUUUGACAGAAUCAAUUGUCAAUGUGCCGUAAUAUUCCAUUGAUGCUGAGGUUGAAGCUUUUGUUAUAUUGAUGGAGCUUAUCCUUCACCAUCUACACUGAGUGUUUGUUGUUUUUUUUCCUCAAAUUGUAUGGUCUCAUUCAUGAAAUAAAAUAAUGAAUUUUCAUUUAAAAAAUAAUAUAAUAUAAUAUUAUGAUAGUAAAAGAUAUAUAAUUAAUAAGGGUUAGUAUUUGGUACCGGUGUAAUUUUUUUAUUUGACAAGUAGCCUUAAAGAAUUACCAUGUAAUAGGAAUUGGUUAUAUGGUUGGGGCAUAUGUUAGGAAUAUAUCAUGGCAGCAAAUUUAUGCAUAAAGAGGGCCAAGAGUGCCCACAAAGUAAAGGACAAAUGGUGAAAAACUACUAAAAACAGAAAAGAAAAAACAAAUCAAAACAGUGUUUUAUAUGAAUGGACUGUGUGUUUUUGUCUAUUAUGAUUGUGAAACCCCAUAAUUGUAAUGCAUGUUCACUGCUUAAGGGUCAUUAAAACAGUGACCAUGUUUGUAAAUUAUGGUAUAAUAAACUAAUUAAUUGUGCUUUGAUGUUCAUUAUUUACUGUUCAUCAUAUUAACUGCAUGUAUAAUCAUAUUGCUGAUUUGCUACACAGAUGGACAAGUUUUUGCAAAGUAUUUUAAACAAAUAAGGUGAGGGUAAUUAAUAUUGCCACAUCAUCAUUCCAUCCUGGCAGGCAUUGGUUACAAGUAGGACCCACUUGCCCAAGAGAGAGUGUGUGUAAGGGGUUUAUAAAUACUUGUAAAUUCUCCUCUCUCUCUCUCUCUCUCUCUCAAAUCAUCUUCUCUGUUGCUCUGUUUACUUGAGGCGUGGCUUUUGGCUUUCAUUACUCUCUCUUUCCUCUGUCUCACAGUGGCAGCCAUCAACAACCCAUCAAUGAAAAUGUCUGCUUUGAGCCAAAAAAAGAAGAGAAAGGGAGAUAGCGAGAGCCAGUCUUUGUCUUCAAAAUGUCUUCUCCUUGUUUUUUUCACAUGAUUAAUCAUGGACGUUGUUGCCAUUAAUACUCUCUUUCUCUUUCACUUUGUAUCCAGCUUUUGACAUCCUUUGAAGCAGACAAUAUCAUUCAUAUCCCACUGAUCGAUUCUCUUGUUUCUUCCCUCUCUUCUUUUCUAUUCUUUUCUUUUUUCCUUUAUUUUAUUAAGUUUUUCACUCUAUAAAGCCAUAUGGAUAUGUGCGUUAAAUUCCCAGAAGAUUAUCGGUACCGAACCAGGAGAGAAAACCCAUCUUUCUCUUCCACUCUCCUUGAUUCUAUCUACCGUUCGAUUGAUGAACCAGGCGGCAGUAAAGGAGAGGAAAAGCUGAUUUUCUGCAAAGAGGCUACCAUGGCGAAGAAGCACAGCAGUAACCGUUCGUCCAAGGAAGAAGAAAUGGCGAGCCUUCAACGUGCCUGCAUGAUCGAGAAAUGGAUGGAGAAGAAAGCCGUUGAUGAUAAGGUUGUCUUUAAUAGGCGAAAUCCCGUGGCGGGUUCUCAAAGAAACUCUCGAAACGACUUUGAUCCCAUGCUGUUGAACUCCAGCUCCACCUCUUCUGAUUCUAGUGGUGGGUUCUCAUCCUCGGAGUCGGAUUCCUUUUACGGUGCAAAAUCAAGGUCGUCGUCUUCAUCAUCAAGCCGUUACACCACUCAUAGGCCUAAGCCUAUUCGGACAACCGUCUCAGCUCCGCCACCCGAAGU
rnacentral:lncRNA from 1 species